AAGUCGUGGGGCAGCAGGUCUGUAGCAAUACAGAUGCUGGCGACCGGCAAACGGGUGCGGAACACGUACACAACCUUCCUUUUAGUGGAGAAUAGCCCAGGGAAACUUGGAUUAAUACUCCGUAACAUAUAGAAGCGGCAUCGCUUUUAUAUUAUAGCAGCAAUGCGCUAGAAGAUGGGUGUGCGGCUGAUUAGAUAGUUGGCGGGGUAACGGCCCACCAAGUCGACGAUCAGUAACUGGUGUGAGAGCACGACCAGUCACACGGGCACUGAGACACGGGCCCGACUCCUACGGGAGGCAGCAGUAAGGAAUAUUGGUCAAUGGACGCAAGUCUGAACCAGCCAUGCCGCGUGGAGGAUGAAGGUCCUCUGGAUUGUAAACUUCUUUUAUCUGGGAAGAAAUCCAUUUUUUCUAAAAUGGUUGACGGUACCAGAUGAAUAAGCACCGGCUAACUCCGUGCCAGCAGCCGCGGUAAUACGGAGGGUGCAAGCGUUAUCCGGAUUCACUGGGUUUAAAGGGUGCGUAGGUGGGCAAGUAAGUCAGUGGUGAAAUCUCCGGGCUUAACCCGGAAACUGCCAUUGAUACUAUUUGUCUUGAAUACUGUGGAGGUCAGCGGAAUAUGUCAUGUAGCGGUGAAAUGCUUAGAUAUGACAUAGAACACCAAUUGCGAAGGCAGCUGGCUACACAAAUAUUGACACUGAGGCACGAAAGCGUGGGGAUCAAACAGGAUUAGAUACCCUGGUAGUCCACGCCCUAAACUAUGGAUACUCGACAUUUGCGAUAAACUGCAAGUGUCUGAGCGAAAGCAUUAAGUAUC
rnacentral:rRNA from 1 species